rnacentral:rRNA from 1 species
UACGAAGGGGGCUAGCGUUGCUCGGAAUCACUGGGCGUAAAGCGCACGUAGGCGGCUUCUUAAGUCAGGGGUGAAAUCCUGGAGCUCAACUCCAGAACUGCCUUUGAUACUGAGGAGCUCGAGUCCGGGAGAGGGAUGCGGAAUUCCAGGUGUAGCGGUGAAAUGCGUAGAUAUCUGGAGGAACACCGGUGGCGAGGGCGGCAUCCUGGACCGAGAUUGACGCUGAGGCGCGAAAGCCAGGGGAGCAAACGGG